rnacentral:rRNA from 1 species
GAUGAACGCUAGCUACAGGCUUAACACAUGCAAGUCGAGGGGAAACGACAUCGAAAGCUUGCUUUUGAUGGGCGUCGACCGGCGCACGGGUGAGUAACGCGUAUCCAACCUGCCCACCACUUGGGGAUAACCUUGCGAAAGUAAGACUAAUACCCAAUGACGUCUCUAGAAGACAUCUGAAAGAGAUUAAAGAUUUAUCGGUGAUGGACGGGGAUGCGUCUGAUUAGCUUGUUGGCGGGGUAACGGCCCACCAAGGCGACGAUCAGUAGGGGUUCUGAGAGGAAGGUCCCCCACAUUGGAACUGAGGCACGGUCCAAACUCCUACGGGAGGCAGCAGUGAGGAAUAUUGGUCAAUGGGCGAGAGCCUGAACCAGCCAAGUAGCGUGCAGGAUGACGGCCCUAUGUGUUGUAAACUGCUUUUAUAAGGGAAUAAAGUGAGUCUCGUGAGACUUUUUGCAUGUACCUUAUGAAUAAGGACCGGCUAAUUCCGUGCCAGCAGCCGCGGUAA